GACGAACGCUGGCGGCGUGCUUAACACAUGCAAGUCGAACGAUGAAGCUAGAGCUUGCUCUGGUGAAUUAGUGGCGAACGGGUGAGUAACACGUGAGUAACCUGCCCCGAACUCUGGGAUAACUGCUGGGAACGGUAGCUAAUACUGGAUACGACCUACGAAGGCAUCUUCUGUAGGUGGAAAGAAUUUCGGUUCGGGAUGGACUCGCGGCCUAUCAGCUUGUUGGUGAGGUAAUGGCUCACCAAGGCGACGACGGGUAGCCGGCCUGAGAGGGUGACCGGCCACACUAGGACUGGGACACGGCCCAGACUCCUACGGGAGGCAGCAGUGGGGAAUAUUGCACAAGGGGCGCAAGCCUGAUGCAGCAACGCCGCGUGAGGGAUGACGGCCUUCGGGUCGUAAACCUCUUUUAGUAGGGAAGAAGCGAAAGUGACGGUACCUGCAGAAAAAGCACCGGCUAACUACGUGCCAGCCGCCGCCGUAA
rnacentral:rRNA from 1 species